rnacentral:rRNA from 1 species
UACGGGGGGGGUAAGCGUUGUUCGGAAUUACUGGGCGUAAAGGGCUCGUAGGCGGCCAACUAAGUCAUACGUGAAAUCCCUCAGCUUAACUGGGGAACUGCGUGUGAUACUGGAUGGCUUGGAUUUGGGAGAGGGAUGCGGAAUUCCAGGUGUAGCGGUGAAAUGCGUAGAUAUCUGGAGGAACAUCGGUGGCGAAGGCGGCAUCCUGGACCGGUAUUGACGCUGAGGCGCGAAAGCCAGGGGAGCAAACGGG